UACGGAGGGUGCGAGCGUUGUUCGGAAUUACUGGCGUAAAGGCGUGCGCAGGCGGCUUCUCAAGUCAGGGGUGAAAGCCCAGAGCUCAACUCUGGAAUUGCCUUGAGACUGAGUGGCUUGAGUACGAGAGAGGUGAGUGGAAUUCCCAGUGUAGAGGGUGAAAUCGUAGAUAUUGGAAGAACACCGGUGGCGAAGGCGGCUCACUGGCUCGUAACUGACGCUCAUGCACGACAGCGUGGGGGGAUCAAACAGG
rnacentral:rRNA from 1 species